rnacentral:pre_miRNA from 12 species
GGUGAGGCAGCUGGUGUUGUGAAUCAGGCCGCCGCAGUGCCGGUACGGCUACUUCACAACACCAGGGUCGCACCC